rnacentral:rRNA from 1 species
GUGGGGAAUAUUGCACAAUGGGCGCAAGCCUGAUGCAGCGACGCCGCGUGAGGGAUGACGGCCUUCGGGUUGUAAACCUCUUUCACGCAUGACGAAGCUUCGGUGACGGUAGUGCGAGAAGAAGCACCGGCCAACUACGUGCCAGCAGCCGCGGUAAUACGUAGGGUGCAAGCGUUGUCCGGAAUUACUGGGCGUAAAGAGCUCGUAGGCGGUUUGUCGCGUCGUCUGUGAAAUUCUGCAGCUUAACUGCAGGCGUGCAGGCGAUACGGGCAGACUUGAGUACUACAGGGGAGACUGGAAUUCCUGGUGUAGCGGUGAAAUGCGCAGAUAUCAGGAGGAACACCGGUGGCGAAGGCGGGUCUCUGGGUAGUAACUGACGCUGAGGAGCGAAAGCGUGGGUAGCGAACAGGAUUAGAAACCCUUGUAGUCC